rnacentral:tRNA from 1 species
GGGGGCGUAGUUCAAUUGGUAGAGCGUCUGACUCCAGAUCAGAAGGUUGCUUGUUAAAGUCAUGUCGUCCUCA